rnacentral:rRNA from 1 species
CCGAAGUUAACACAUUAAGCAUUCCGCCUGGGGAGUACGGUCGCAAGACUGAAACUCAAAGGAAUUGACGGGGACCCGCACAAGCAGUGGAGUAUGUGGUUUAAUUCGAAGCAACGCGAAGAACCUUACCAGGUCUUGACAUCCCUUUGACCCCUCUAGAGAUAGAGGUUUCCUUCGGGACAGAGGAGACAGGUGGUGCAUGGUUGUCGUCAGCUCGUGUCGUGAGAUGUUGGGUUAAGUCCCGCAACGAGCGCAACCCUUGAUCUUAGUUGCCAGCACGUAAUGGUGGGCACUCUAAGGUGACUGCCGGUGACAAACCGGAGGAAGGUGG